CUUCCCCCCGCUAGCACUCCCUGUCUCCCUGAUUCCUCUUCUAAGCACAGCCGUAUCAGCUUGUUUAUUGCCCACCGCUUUUUUCCUUCUUUACUGAAGCAAAUCCAAAGGACAGAAGCACCAACCAUCCUACUCUCUCCAAUCAGAAACCACCAACAGCAAGCUCCCUCUCUGAGCCUCCAUCUCCCGUUCUCCCAUCCCGUCUCCUUUUCUUCUCCACGAGCAGAGCAAACAAGUUAUCAUGGAUCAUGCUACGGCCGGAGCAGCAGGUCGUCGGCCGCAUCUCCUGCAAGAUGUCCAUAUCGACAUAGCUGAACUCCUCGACGAUGCGGAGCACCUCGUUGACGGACAUGCGCAAAAGGAAAAAGGCC
rnacentral:lncRNA from 1 species